UGGGGAAUUUUGGACAAUGGGCGAAAGCCUGAUCCAGCAAUGCCGCGUGUGUGAAGAAGGCCUUCGGGUUGUAAAGCACUUUUGUCCGGAAAGAAAUCCUUGGCUCUAAUACAGUCGGGGGAUGACGGUACCGGAAGAAUAAGCACCGGCUAACUACGUGCCAGCAGCCGCGGUAAUACGUAGGGUGCAAGCGUUAAUCGGAAUUACUGGGCGUAAAGCGUGCGCAGGCGGUUUGCUAAGACCGAUGCGAAAUCCCCGGGCUCAACCUGGGAACUGCAUUGGUGACUGGCAGGCUAGAGUAUGGCAGAGGGGGGUAGAAUUCCACGUGUAGCAGUGAAAUGCGUAGAGAUGUGGAGGAAUACCGAUGGCGAAGGCAGCCCCCUGGGCCAAUACUGACGCUCAUGCACGAAAGCGUGGGGAGCAACAGGAUUAGAUACCCUGGUAGUCCACGCCCUAAACGAUGUCAACUAGUUGUUGGGGAUUCAUUUCCUUAGUAACGUAGCUAACGCGUGAAGUUGACCGCCUGGGGAGUACGGU
rnacentral:rRNA from 1 species